rnacentral:rRNA from 1 species
UACGUAGGGUGCGAGCGUUGUCCGGAAUUAUUGGGCGUAAAGAGCUUGUAGGCGGUUUGUCGCGUCUGCCGUGAAAAUCCGGGGCUCAACCCCGGACUUGCGGUGGGUACGGGCAGACUAGAGUGUGGUAGGGGAGACUGGAAUUCCUGGUGUAGCGGUGAAAUGCGCAGAUAUCAGGAGGAACACCAAUAGCGAAGGCAGCUCGCUGGGACGUUACUGACACUGAGGCGCGAAAGCGUGGGGAGCGAGCAGG